rnacentral:lncRNA from 1 species
ACCCGUAGCAAGCCUGCUAUACUCUCUGUGUACCUGUAAAACUCAUACAUGAUCAUACAUUUUCUGUGAAAAUAAAAACUCUUUGCUGAACCAAGGCUUAACCUGUGCAUGCACUAUCUCUGUACUCUGUACUCAUGUACUCUGUACUCUGUACUCUGUACCCCUGACUAGAGCUUACUCUAGAUGGGUUAACUCAUACCUGUUAAGCCUGGUUUUUACAUACAGGAAAACAUAUACAUACACAGAUCAUGUAUAAAACAUACAUCUCUAGGUCAAGCACAUGUCUAACUGUAUACACAACUCGUACAUUUCUUUAAGAUUACAUGUCCA